rnacentral:rRNA from 1 species
CGGAGGGUGCAAGCGUUAUCCGGAUUCACUGGGUUUAAAGGGAGCGUAGGUGGGUUGGUAAGUCAGUGGUGAAAUCCCCGAGCUUAACUUGGGAACUGCCAUUGAUACUAUCAGUCUUGAAGUACCGUGGAGGUCAGCGGAAUAUGUCAUGUAGCGGUGAAAUGCUUAGAUAUGACAUAGAACACCAAUUGCGAAGGCAGCUGGCUACACGAAUAUUGACACUGAGGCUCGAAAGCGUGGGGAUCAAACAGGAUUAGAUACCCUGGUAGUCCACGCCCUAAACUAUGGAUACUCGACAUACGCGAUACACUGUGUGUCUGAGCGAAAGCAUUAAGUAUCCCACCUGGGAAGUACGAUCGCAAGAUUG